rnacentral:piRNA from 1 species
UUCUUGGAGUGUGCUGUGAAUGUGCUU